rnacentral:misc_RNA from 1 species
GAUGAAGAACGUAGCGAAAUGCGAUACGUAAUGUGAAUUGCAGAAUUCAGUGAAUCAUCGAAUCUUUGAACGCACAUUGCGCCCCUUGGUAUUCCGAGGGGCAUGCCUGUUCGAGCGUCAUUAUAACCCCUCAAGCUCAGCUUGGUGUUGGGGCCUGCUGCACUGGCAGCCCUUAAAAUCAGUGGCGGCGCCAUCUGGCUCUAAGCGUAGUAAUUCUUCUCGCUAUGGAGUCCUGGUGGAUGCUUGCCAUCAACCCCAAAUUUUUCUAUGGUUGACCUCGGAUCAGGUAGGGAUACCCGCUGAACUUAAGCAUAUCAAUAAGCGGAGGA